AUUGAACGCUGGCGGCAUGCCUUACACAUGCAAGUCGAACGGCAGCACGGGAGCAACCCUGGUGGCGAGUGGCGAACGGGUGAGUAAUAUAUCGGAACGUGCCCAGUCGUGGGGGAUAACGCAGCGAAAGCUGUGCUAAUACCGCAUACGAUCUACGGAUGAAAGCGGGGGAUCGCAAGACCUCGCGCGAUUGGAGCGGCCGAUAUCAGAUUAGCUAGUUGGUGGGGUAAAAGCCCACCAAGGCGACGAUCUGUAGCUGGUCUGAGAGGACGACCAGCCACACUGGAACUGAGACACGGUCCAGACUCCUACGGGAGGCAGCAGUGGGGAAUUUUGGACAAUGGGCGCAAGCCUGAUCCAGCAAUGCCGCGUGCAGGAUGAAGGCCUUCGGGUUGUAAACUGCUUUUGUACGGAACGAAACGGCUCUUUCUAAUAAAGAGGGCUAAUGACGGUACCGUAAGAAUAAGUACCGGCUAACUACGUGCCAGCCGCCGCCGUAA
rnacentral:rRNA from 1 species